rnacentral:rRNA from 1 species
CCUACGGGAGGCAGCAGUGAGGAAUAUUGGUCAAUGGGCGAGCGCCUGAACCAGCCAAGUCGCGUGAGGGAGUACUGCCCUAUGGGUUGUAAACCUCUUUUGUCGGGGAGCAAAAGCCGGACGUGUCCGGCUGUGAGAGUACCCGAAGACAAAGCAUCAGCUAACUCCGUGCCAGCAGCCGCGGUAAUACGGAGGAUGAGAGCGUUAUCCGGAUUUAUUGGGUUUAAAGGGUGCGCAGGCGGAUUGUUAAGUCAGCGGUAAAAUCGUGGGGCUCAACCCCAUCCAGCCGUUGAAACUGGGGAUCUAGAGUGUGCGAGAGGUAUGCGGAAUGCGUGGUGUAGCGGUGAAAUGCAUAGAUAUCACGCAGAACCCCGAUUGCGAAGGCAGCAUACCGGUGCACAACUGACGCUCAGGCACGAAAGCGUGGGUAUCGAACAGGAUUAGAUACCCCAGUAGUC